rnacentral:lncRNA from 1 species
UCUUACUUAAGACUCCUACUUCUAACCAACUCCUAAUAUGACUCCUAAUCAAGACUCCUACUUCUAACCAACUCCUAAUAGGACUCCUACUCAAGACUCCUAUUCCUUUACAACUCCUUAUUCUUCUCUAAGAAAUAACCUCCUAACCCUAGCCGGCCACUUCACCUCUUUAAUAGGGGUCGGCUUAGGUAGGUUUUACAUGAA